CACGUAGUUAGCCGGCGCUUUCUCUGCAGGUACCGUCAAUCUCUCUUCUUCCCUGCUAACAGAGGUUUACAACCCGAAGGCCGUCAUCCCUCACGCGGCGUCGCUGCAUCAGGCUUGCGCCCAUUGUGCAAUAUUCCCCACUGCUGCCUCCCGUAGGAGUCUGGGCCGUGCCUCAGUCCCAGUGUGGCCGGUCACCCUCUCAGGCCGGCUACCCGUCGUCGCCUUGGUGAGCCGUUACCUCACCAACAAGCUGAUAGGCCGUGAGCCCAUCUAUAACCACUACAUAACGCUUUCCACCAACACCCCAUGCGGAGAUUGGUCGUAUCCGGUAUUAGACCCAGUUUCCCAGGCUUAUCCCAGAGUUAAAGGUAGGUUACUCACGUAUUACUCACCCGUUCGCCACUAAUCCACCUAGCAAGCUAGGCUUCAUCGUUCGACUUGCAUGUGUUAAGCACGCCGCCAGCGUUCUCU
rnacentral:rRNA from 1 species